UUCAAAUUAGUGCUAAUCGAGGUUAAUUUUGAAGCUUGAAAUCAGAUUUCUGGCGACCCUCUCCUUAUGUUUCCGAUCUUGACCACCCUCUCCUCCCUAAUUUGCGUUGCAGCCACCCACUCUCUUUUCUUCCGGCCAGCCGCCUCUUCCUUCACUCUUAACUCGUUUUUUCGUUUCUGUGUGAGGCUGCCUGUGUUUCUGUG
rnacentral:lncRNA from 1 species